rnacentral:rRNA from 1 species
CCUGGUUGAUCCUGCCAGUAGUCAUAUGCUUGUCUCAAAGAUUAAGCCAUGCAUGUCUAAGUGCAUGCCAAAUUAAGGUGAAACCGCGAAUGGCUCAUUAAAUCAGUUAUGGUUCCUUAGAUCGUACCCACAUUUACUUGGAUAACUGUGGUAAUUCUAGAGCUAAUACAUGCAAACCAGAGUUCCGACCAGAGAUGGAAGGAACGCUUUUAUUAGAUCAAAACCAAUCGGUGGCGGGCUUUGCUCGUCCACCGUUUACUUUGGUGACUCUGAAUAACUUUGUGCUGAUCGCACGGUCUCGUACCGGCGACGCAUCUUUCAAAUGUCUGCCUUAUCAACUGUCGAUGGUAGGUUCUGCGCCUACCAUGGUUGUAACGGGUAACGGGGAAUCAGGGUUCGAUUCCGGAGAGGGAGCCUGAGAAACGGCUACCACAUCCAAGGAAGGCAGCAGGCGCGCAAAUUACCCACUCCCGGCACGGGGAGGUAGUGACGAAAAAUAACGAUACGGGACUCAUCCGAGGCCCCGUAAUCGGAAUGAGUACACUUUAAAUCCUUUAACGAGGAUCAAUUGGAGGGCAAGUCUGGUGCCAGCAGCCGCGGUAAUUCCAGCUCCAAUAGCGUAUAUUAAAGUUGUUGCGGUUAAAAAGCUCGUAGUUGAAUCUGUGUCGCACGCUGUCGGUUCGCCGCUCGCGGUGUUUAACUGACAUGCUCGUGAGACGUCCUACCGGUGGGCUUAGCUCCUUCGGGGGCGGUCCAACUAAUAUCCCAUCGCGGUGCUCUUUAUUGAGUGUCGAGGUGGGCCGGUACGUUUACUUUGAACAAAUUAGAGUGCUUAAAGCAGGCUAUCAUUUGCCUGAAUAUUCUGUGCAUGGAAUAAUGGAAUAGGACCUCGGUUCUAUUUUGUUGGUUUUAAGAAACCCGAGGUAAUGAUUAAUAGGGACAGAUGGGGGCAUUCGUAUUGCGACGUUAGAGGUGAAAUUCUUGGAUCGUCGCAAGACGGACAGAAGCGAAAGCAUUUGCCAAAAAUGUUUUCAUUAAUCAAGAACGAAAGUUAGAGGUUCGAAGGCGAUCAGAUACCGCCCUAGUUCUAACCAUAAACGAUGCCAGCUAGCGAUCCGCCGAAGUUCCUCCGAUGACUCGGCGGGCAGCUUCCGGGAAACCAAAGCUUUUGGGUUCCGGGGGAAGUAUGGUUGCAAAGCUGAAACUUAAAGGAAUUGACGGAAGGGCACCACCAGGAGUGGAGCCUGCGGCUUAAUUUGACUCAACACGGGAAACCUCACCAGGCCCGGACACCGGAAGGAUUGACAGAUUGAGAGCUCUUUCUUGAUUCGGUGGGUGGUGGUGCAUGGCCGUUCUUAGUUGGUGGAGCGAUUUGUCUGGUUAAUUCCGAUAACGAACGAGACUCUAGCCUGCUAAAUAGGCGUACCUUAUGGUAUCUUGAAGGCCCCCGGCUUCGGUCGGUGGGUUUUUAC